CACGUAGGGACCAAGCGUUGUCCGGAUUCAUUGGGCGUAAAGAGCUCGUAGGCGGUUUGUUGCGUCGGCUGUGAAAUCCCGAGGCUCAACCUCGGGUCUGCAGUCGAUACGAGCAAACUAGAGUGUUGCAGGGGAGACUGGAAUUCCUGGUGUAGCGGUGAAAUGCGCAGAUAUCAGGAGGAACACCGGUGGCGAAGGCGGGUCUCUGGGCAACAACUGACGCUGGAGGAGCGAAAGCGUGGGGAGCGAACAGG
rnacentral:rRNA from 1 species